rnacentral:rRNA from 1 species
AGCAGUAGCCACGGUAACACGGAGGGUGCAAGCGUUAAUCGGAAUUACUGGGCGUAAAGCGCACGCAGGCGGUUUGUUAAGUCAGAUGUGAAAUCCCCGAGCUUAACUUGGGAACUGCAUUUGAAACUGGCAAGCUAGAGUCUUGUAGAGGGGGGUAGAAUUCCAGGUGUAGCGGUGAAAUGCGUAGAGAUCUGGAGGAAUACCGGUGGCGAAGGCGGCCCCCUGGGAUAACACUGACGCUCAUGCACGAAAGCGUGGGGAGCAAACAGGAUUAGAUACCCGUGUAGUCCCUGUCUCUUAUAA